CCUACAUCUGGUUCAAGAUUGGACAGAAUGUACAUCAGGGAGUGACCUACUGGGUCCAACCUCGGUUUGCAGGCAACUAGUCAUGUGCUGUAGAAGGAUACGAUCUCCACUCUCCUUUAGUGUGUAAGUCUACUCUACAGUACACUGACAUGAUACCAGGUGUAAUAGACCUUUUAGGGAAAAUAACUACAUGCAUAUGUAUUAUGAAUGGACCAAACUGCUGGUGUUUUAUAUAAUUAAUGAAAUGUAACUGUUAACAGACGCUCCAAAGACCCCCUCAGUGACCGUGAGUCUCUCUGGUGAAGGUCCCAUCUCUAUCAAUGUCAAAUAUGGACCCAUACACACAUCUGUGUAUUCAAGUCCCUCUGGUGGAAUAGAGGAGGGCAGUUCAGUGACUCUGAGCUGCAGCAGUGAUGCCAACCCAGCAGCUGAGUACACCUGGUUCAAG